rnacentral:lncRNA from 1 species
GGUCUAGGGAUGGUGAUUGAUUUUAGUUACGCGUUUAAUCACAUUAAGGCGUGUUGUUCCUAGGGAUGUUGGACCCAACUACUCCAAUCUCAUGCAUAUCAAAUAAAACAAGAAAAUGAGUACUUCAAAGUAAAGAAGAGCUUAUGCUCUUUUACAACAAUUUGAUCAAAACAAAUUACUUUAAAGUAAAGAAGAGCGUAUGCUCUUUUACAACAUUUGAUCAAAUCAAAUUACAACCAAAAUCUAAUCUACACAUUCCCAUGGUUCAAACAAAUUUGAAACGGCCUUUCACAUAGCUCAAUUAUAUUAGGCUUAGGUUCAUAAUCACCCCUUAAUUAAUUAACACUUUAACUAAUUAAAUUGAAUGCAACAUUUUCAUUUGGUUUUUGUAUCCAUAAAAUUGAUUUAAAUGGAGCUAAAUGAAAUGAAAAUCCAAUUCUCAUUUAAAGAGACAAAACCAUUUUGUUCUCAUCCUAAUUUGGGCCAAUAUGCAAUUACCACAACCUUUGGGCUAUAUUGCAAAAACAUAAACUUUUGGGGUCACUUUGUAAAAACACAAAAGUCCUUUACUUCAUGUAAUUACAACUAGAACCCAAAAUUUAAACAAUGCAAAAACUUCAUUAAAGGAGCAAAACAAUUUGUCCUCUAGCGUUUUUGGACCUAAACGUAAAAACGUAAACUUUUGGGCCAAAGUGCAACAACAACAACAACAACAAAGCCUUUUCCCACUAAGUGGGGUCGGCUAUAUGAAUCCUAGAACGCCAUUGCGCUCGGUUUUGUGUCAUGUCCUCCGUUAGGUCCAAGUACU